rnacentral:rRNA from 1 species
AGCAGCCGCGGUAAUUCCAGCUCUAAUAGCGUAUAUUAAAGUUGUUGCAGUUAAAAAGCUCGUAGUUGAAUUUCGGGGUCGGUAGGUUGGUCAUGCCACUGGUAUGUACUGGUUUCACUGAUUCCUCCUUCCUGAUGAACUGUAAUGCCAUUAAUUUGGUGUUGCAGGGAAUCUGGACUGUUACUUUGAAAAAAUUAGAGUGUUUAAAGCAGGCUAACGCCUGAAUACAUUAGCAUGGAAUAAUGAAAUAGGACGUUCGAUCCUAUUUUGUUGGUUUCUAGGAUUGACGUAAUGAUUAAUAGGGAUAGUUGGGGGCAUUAGUAUUCAAUCGUCAGAGGUGAAAUUCUUGGAUUUAUUGAAGACUAACUACUGCGAAAGCAUUUGCCAAGGAUGUUUUCAUUAAUCAAGAACGAAAGUUAGGGGAGUCGAAGGCGAUCAGAUACCGUCGUAGUCUUAACCAUAAACUAUGCCGACUAGGGAUCGGAUGAUGUUAAUUUUUUAAUGACUCAUUCGGCGUCCG